rnacentral:lncRNA from 1 species
AUGGCCCCAAAGGUAACUCCUUUUUUUUUUUUGGCUUGCUCCACAGCUCCCAGGCCAAGGUGCAAUUGCAACCCACCCGGUCCUUUAAGGCGAUGUGCCAGGAGGGGAUUGAACCUGUGUCCCAGCACUCCAGAGAUGCCGCUGAUCCUGUUGCACCAUAGAGGAAACUCCAAAAGAUUCUCAGCAUCUCUCGGAGCUUUGCCUGAGAAAUACCUCUUUUGCCAUCCUGAGUCCCAAGCCCAUCUCCCAGCGAAGCCUAUUUCCUAGCGCCUGUGGGAGCAGCAGUCUACACAGGCCCUGGGGAUGGUAGAAAGGCCUCACCCGAAGGGGCCCACUUUGGCCAUUGGACCUUGAAGCGGCUAAAGCAAAAAUAGAAAUUGAGACCACUCCAAAGAGGUGAGAUCCCUUCUUUGUGGUUUCCUCCAUGCUGGGCAGCCAGAACCAUUGGGCUAUGGAGAAAUUUGGACUGACAGGAUGCAACGGAAGCUCCCCUAGCCAGAGAAACUGUCCAGCCCUGGCACAGUGCUUCCAUUUCAUCCUGGCAGUGGCCAACUGGGACAGACCAUCACAUAUGGUAUCACAUGACGAUUCCCUGCUACACGCAGAAAGCAACAAUAAUAAAACCAUGAGUACUGCUGUCACUUACUGGACUCCAUAAUCAAUACCAGGUGUCAGGUACAUUCUGUUCAUGAUGACACUUAAUUUUCACGAUAAAAUUACCGUAGGUGAUUAUCCCCAUUUAACAGAUGAGACAAUCAAGGCUCAGAGAGAGAGAAAAUCAUUUGCUCAAGGUCCUAUAACCAAGAGUGGGAGAACCUGAAUUUCUGACUCCAAAGCACAUGCUCCCAAUCCUUACCUUUUAAAUAUUCAAUUAUGGGUCUCUUUACACCUACACACAUACGCACACCUCCCACACACACACCAAAUUGUAUGCUCCUCCAGAGCUAGGAUUUAUUUCUUGUUCAUCAUCCACAUGGCACAGGAACUGAUCCUUAGUGGAUGGUCAGCACAUUUUUGUAAGUGCAUUCUUAAUGCUAUUGAAUUAGUGUUAUAAUUUAUAUAUGCUAUAAUUAAUAGAUUGAUAUCAAUAUUCAUUGCCAUAACACCAGGGUUGGUUUUCCUACUCCCUGUGAUUGACCAUUUGGACAAUUUCCAAUUUUUAGUUUUAAUGCUCAGUACAGUAAUUUGCUCUUACUGGAACAUGGAAUGGGCGUAAGAAGCAGCAGAUGAAUCUAAUAAAGGAAAAAUAACAUUCUGCAUCUUUCAUGAGACCAUUCAGGAUGAAUCCAAUUAAGUAAUAUGCUAAUUACAUUAAAUAGAGAAACAGUUCUGGGAUCAUGAUAAUAAAAUUAUCAGCCUUUUCUAGCAAACUUAAAUACCACAAUUUUCACUAGGAAAGCAUUCGUUUUUUUUUGUUUUUUUUUUUUUAGGAAAGCAUUCGUGUUUAAUGGAUUGAAAAAUACACUGUACCCUCUUAUCUAGGCAAAUCCAAAAAGCCUUUCAAAAAUAAAUAUCAAUCUAUAAAUGAAAGUGUCAAAAUCCUAUAAUGUAGAGGAAAAAACAUGUAGCUAUCUUUUAGAAAAUUGAAUUUAGUUGAUUGUGUACCAGACUGUUAAAAAAUGGAGAGCGAGAGCACUUUAUGUCUGGUUUUUUGGUUCAGAUUUUUAAAUUUGGUUUCCUGAGUGCUUUUAGUGACUGACUCUCAGGUGCCCUCUAGUGGAGGAGCUGAAGAACAGUUUGGUGCGGGAGGUGCUAUUUGUCAUCCGUUUGCUAUGCAUUACAUGCCUAAGAGUAACCACUGGUCACACCUCUAGUUCUACAUGAAGGAUAUAGAAGUAACGAUUUUUUUUUUUUUUGUCUUUUUGCUAUUUCUAGGGCCGCUCCCGCAGCGUAUGGAGAUUCCCAGGCUAGGGGUCCAAUCGGAGCUGUAGCCACCGGCCUUCACCAGAGCCACAGCAACGCAGGAUCCGUGCCUCGUCUGCAACCUACACCACAGCUCACAGCAACGCCAGAUCGUUAACCCACUGAGCAA